GUGGUGGCUCAGUUGUAGAGUGCUUGCCUAGCACGUGUGAGGCACUGGGUUCAAUUCUCAGCACCACA
rnacentral:tRNA from 1 species